rnacentral:SRP_RNA from 1 species
CGGUACGGACGAAGAAGAACCCAAGGCCCAGGGUCU